CGGUAAUUCCAGCUCCAAUAGCGUAUACUAAAGUUGUUGCAGUUAAAAAGCUCGUAGUUGGAUUUCUGCGGGGACGGAGCGGCCGGACGCAACUUGCGUCUCGAGCUAGCGCUUUCCCCGCAUCCUGCCGCGAACCGUGCUACCAUUAGUUUGGUGGCGCUGGGGAUCGGCUCGAUUACUUUGAGUAAAAUAGAGUGUUCAAAGCAGGCCACACGCCUUGAAUAAGUUAGCAUGGAAUAAUGACUAAGGACUUCGGUUCUAUUUUGUUGGUGUUCGGGACUGAAGUAAUGAUUGAUAGGGACAGUUGGGGCGGUCUGUAUUCCAAAGCGAGAGGUGAAAUUCUUAGACCUUCGGAAGACAAACAGCUGCGAAAGCGUUCCGCAAGGAUGUUCCCUUUGAUCAAGAACGAAAGUUGGGGGAUCGAAGACGAUCAGAUACCGUCGUAGUCUCAACUAUAAACUAUACCAGCUAGGGAUCGGUCAACGUUUAAUUAUUCGACUUGAUCGGCACCUUAUGAGAAAUCAAAGCAUCUGGGUUCCGGGGGGAGUAUGGUCGCAAGGCUGAAACUUAAAGGAAUUGACGGAAGGGCACCACCAGCCGUGGAGCCUGUGGCUUAAUUUGACUCAACACGGGAAAACUUACCAGGUCCAGACAUAGUAAGGAUUGACAGAUUGAUAGCUCUUUCUUGAUUCUGUGGGUGGUGGUGCAUGGCCGUUCUUAGUUGGUGGAGUGAUUUGUCUGGUUAAUUCCGUUAACGAACGAGACCCCAGCCUGCUAAAUAGCGCGGCUGAGCUUUGCUCGGUGCGAGCUUCUUAGAGGGACUAUGAUGCGCGAUAGCACAUGGAAGUUUGGGGCAAUGACAGGUCUGUGAUGCCCUUAGAUGUUCUGGGCCGCACACGGGCUACACUGGCGCCUGCAACGAGCAUAUCAGCUGGCCCGAGAGGGUCUUGGCUAAUCUUUUGAACCGGCGCCGUGCUUGGGAUUGACCUUUGCAAUUGUUGGUCAUGCAACGAGGAAUGCCUUGUAAACGCGAGUCAUCAGCUCGCAUUGAAUACGUCCCUGCUCUUUGUACACACCGCCC
rnacentral:rRNA from 1 species